GCGAAAGAACAGACACGAUCUCCAACGCGGAAUUUGGUGACGGCGGGACCAAUCGCGUCGACGAUUCCGGAGUAAUCAGAGCCCGGAAUGAAAGGUAACGGAGGUUUCUCCUGGUAUUUCCCGAGAAUCUGAAGGUAAUUUGCGUAAUUCAAGCUCGUAGCAAUAACUCUGACUCUCACCGACGUGUCUGAAUUCAAAGACGGGAUCGGAUGAGUCUUGCUUACUUCUACCGGAGAUUCUGGACUACCUGGAUUCGUCGCAGUUGGAUCUCCCAAUUUCCGGCAAACCAAAGCCUCCAUUUUUGCUAUCUCUGAUAACUCUCUCUCUCUCUCUCUCUCUCUCUCUCUUUCUCCUGAAGAG